UGUUCUACUAGAAUGUGAUGAAGGAACGAUCCAGAUCUACAGUGCCAACUAUGGCCGCCGUGACCAGCUAGUGUGUUCCUUUAAUCGCCCGCUAACCAACUAGCCAACACCAACUGUCUCAGCCAAUCCAUAACCACCAGUAAGGUGGCAGAGAGGUGUAAUGGGAAGAGCCAGUGUGACGUCCGG